rnacentral:rRNA from 1 species
UGGCUGAGGAUGAACGCUGGCGGCGUGCUUAACACAUGCAAGUCGAACGAUGAUCUCCAGCUUGCUGGGGGGAUUAGUGGCGAACGGGUGAGUAACACGUGAGUAACCUGCCCUUGACUCUGGGAUAAGCCUGGGAAACUGGGUCUAAUACCGGAUAUGACCAUCUGGCGCAUGUCAUGGUGGUGGAAAGCUUUUUUGUGGUUUUGGAUGGACUCGCGGCCUAUCAGCUUGUUGGUGGGGUAAUGGCCUACCAAGGCGACGACGGGUAGCCGGCCUGAGAGGGUGACCGGCCACACUGGGACUGAGACACGGCCCAGACUCCUACGGGAGGCAGCAGUGGGGAAUAUUGCACAAUGGGCGCAAGCCUGAUGCAGCGACGCCGCGUGAGGGAUGACGGCCUUCGGGUUGUAAACCUCUUUCAGUAGGGAAGAAGCGUAAGUGACGGUACCUGCAGAAGAAGCGCCGGCUAACUACGUGCCAGCAGCCGCGGUAAUACGUAGGGCGCAAGCGUUAUCCGGAAUUAUUGGGCGUAAAGAGCUCGUAGGCGGUUUGUCGCGUCUGCUGUGAAAGACCGGGGCUCAACUCCGGUUCUGCAGUGGGUACGGGCAGACUAGAGUGCAG